rnacentral:rRNA from 1 species
GUAGUUAGCCGGGGCUUCCUCCUAAGCUACCGUCACUUCCUUCGUCACUUAGGACAGAGGUUUACAAUCCGAAAACCUUCUUCCCUCACGCGGCGUUGCUGGGUCAGGCUUUCGCCCAUUGCCCAAUAUUCCCCACUGCUGCCUCCCGUAGGAGUCUGGACCGUGUCUCAGUUCCAAUGUGGCCGUUCACCCUCUCAGGUCGGCUACCCAUCGCUGUCUUGGUGCGCCGUUACCGCACCAACUAACUAAUGGGACGCGAGCUCACCCCAAACCGGAUCUCUCCUUUUACCUCAAAGCCAUGCGGCCCCGUGGUCUUAUGCGGUAUUAGCAGAUGUUUCCAUCUGUUAUCCCCCUGUCUGGGACAGAUUGCUCACGCGUUACUCACCCGUCCGCCGCUCGAACAACCUCCGCUCCGAAGAGCUUCCGCUGUCCUCGCUCGACUUGCAUGUGUUAAGCACGCCGCCAGCGUUCGUCCUGAGCCAGGAUCAAACUCUGA